GUCACCCAACAGUCAAUGGCUGCCCGGUGGCUUCCUGUGGAGCUCUCAGUGCCCAGUUUCAACGUCGGCAGUAAUGAUGUUUUGGACUCUGUUGCGGGGCCGUCCUGCGCUCUGCGGGUGCUUAGCAACCCCCCUAGCCUCUGCCCACCAGAUGCCAGGAGCAACCCCCCACGCCAGACGGGGUAACCAGAAGCGUCUCUAGACAUCGCUAAAUAUUCCCCGGAAGAUGCUAUGAGCCCAGCUGAGAACCACUGGGUCAUGACUCCAAUAAUCAGCUGUGCUCCCAGAUCUCAGCUGGGCGACAGCCACCUGUAAAUAAGAUCUUAGGUAUGAACUUGGACCUUUGGGGACAAGGACAAAGGCUAUGAGCUGUGGACCGAGGUAAUGUCUCCUUUGUGUUCUCAGGUGAGUAGGGACUGGGUGGUGUUGGGAAGGGGAGAUGGAGGAUGUUUCUGGGAUUUGGGAGACUGCAUUCUGGUUUGGGGUCAGGCUGACACCCCAGGCACAGGCUUGUCGUCUGACCAACAAAACCUCUGUCUUCCCUUCUCUUCCUUACUGAAUAAUUCAGCCCUGUGGGCCCGCCUUGGGUCAGAUCCUCCUAAGACCUCUCUGACACACUUGUCCUCUCACGCCAGCUUAUGGUCCUUUCUGUGGUUUUCCCUGAUCCAAUGCUUACCCCAUCACAACCCUUAACGACCACAUGGCCACGGCCUCUGCUAUCUUGUAUUCCCAGGGCCUAGCAAGAGGACCUGAUACAGAGGCCUCUUUACUCCCUGUGGUUUGCUGAUGGACUGACAGGGGCUAAGCCCCCAGCCAGGCAUGGUGGCGAUCAGACAAGACUAUAUCUACUGGGGGAGGUGGGCACACACAUCAUUUCCAGCCAUGAAAAGGGCCACGAGGGGUGUCGAGAAUGGGGACAUCUAGUCUGCUGGUCAGGGUUGUGCUGUGUUUCCUGUAGGGUGACCAGUCAUCCCGGUUCACCCAGAACUGAGGGGUUUCUUGGGACACGGAACAUCAAAGUUAAAACGGGCAAAGUCCUAGACAAAUCAGGAUGAGAGGCUUAUUCUAGUGCCUGCACCUGCCUGGAAGAUUUACUCGCUAGCACGCAGUUUUAAAUCCUGGAACAACGCGACAAGUCAGUGCCAGAGUCAAACCCCAUUUGACAGGAGCUCCGCGGAAGUGUCUCUUCUAAGGGCUGACCUAGUGCCGAGAGAAGCAGCGCUGGAGACUUCUCCGAGUGCCCCCGUGUCCCCGCUUGCAGGCGGCUCCCCGCACCAGCCCAUCCGACUUAGCGGGUUCAUUAUGCCUCGGGUCCAACGUCAUAGCCGAAGUUUGGAAUUUUCCAGGAGAGGUGACCUAGCCUGGGGUGGGGGGAAUGCACCCAUUUGGGGCUGGUGGUCCUGCCAUGGCGGGGGCGGGGGGCGGACAUGGCUUCCCUCUGUGGGCCUCAGGGAUGGAGUUUUGGCUCAGGAGUGUGGCUCCCUUGUUCUUUGGUCACCAAAUCGUGUGGGGAACGGGGCCCUAGGGGAACCCGCCUCCUGGGCCACAGUGAGGAGUAAAUGAGUCACAAUGUGAAUAGGACAGUGCCUGCCACAUCACAAGGACUCCAAUACGAGCUAGUUUUCAUAUUUCCUCAGCGUCCCCAAGGGCUGGUAUGAUGGCCACCCCACAAGUAGUAGGUGGGUCUCAGUGGGUCUCACCGCCCUUGUCUGGGAGGCAAGAGGGGGAGGUGGGGAUCAGCUCCAAGGCCUUGAUUCUCAAAGCCUCGUCCUGGGCCAGCAGCAGGUAUCACAGGUACGCUCCUUAGAAAUGCAGUCUCGGCCCCACCCAAACCACGGAGCCAGACCCUUCCUUCACAACAGCCCCAGGGGCUUCGUGGCAUUCCGAGGUUGGCGGAACACACGGCUCCUAGGCACCUUCCAGCCCUGGAGGGCUGGGAUUCCCUGCCCAGUCCUGGCUGCCUGGGUGCUCCGGUGUGAUGGGGGGUGACAUGCGGUGGUGGGCCCGGCUGCGCUCCAUGCACUCCCCUGAGCUCCCAGAUCUGGCUCACCUCCUACCAGCAGAUCCUGCUGCACCCUGCCCG